UACGGGGGGAGCAAGCGUUGUUCGGAUUUACUGGGCGUAAAGGGCGAGUAGGCGGCCUUCUAAGUCAGACGUGAAAUCCCCCGGCUUAACCUGGGAACUGCGUCUGAUACUGGGAGGCUCGAGUAUGGGAGAGGGAUGUAGAAUUCCAGGUGUAGCGGUGAAAUGCGUAGAUAUGUGGAGGAACACCGAUGGCGAAGGCAGCCCCCUGGGUUAACACUGACGCUCAUGCACGAAAGCGUGGGGAGCAAACAGG
rnacentral:rRNA from 1 species